rnacentral:tRNA from 1 species
GUUUAAAUAAUUUAAUAAAAAUAUUGGCCUUGUAAACCAAAUUUAGGAAUACCUUUUAAACU